AUUGAACGCUGGCGGCAUGCCUUACACAUGCAAGUCGAACGGCAGCACGGGAGCAAUCCUGGUGGCGAGUGGCGAACGGGUGAGUAAAGUAUCGGAACGUGCCCAGUCGUGGGGGAUAACGUAGCGAAAGUUACGCUAAUACCGCAUACGAUCUAUGGAUGAAAGCGGGGGAUCGCAAGACCUCGCGCGAUUGGAGCGGCCGAUAUCAGAUUAGGUAGUUGGUGGGGUAAAGGCUCACCAAGCCGACGAUCUGUAGCUGGUCUGAGAGGACGACCAGCCACACUGGGACUGAGACACGGCCCAGACUCCUACGGGAGGCAGCAGUGGGGAAUUUUAGACAAUGGGCGAAAGCCUGAUCCAGCCAUGCCGCGUGUAGGAUGAAGGCCUUCGGGUUGUAAACUGCUUUUGUACGGAACGAAAAGGUUUGGGCUAAUAAGCUGAGCUCAUGACGGUACCGUAAGAAUAAGCACCGGCUAACUACGUGCCAGCCGCCGCUGUAA
rnacentral:rRNA from 1 species